UGACCACAAGUUCAACGGCCGCGGUAUUUUGACCGUGCAAAGGUAGCGCAAUCACUUGUCUUUUAAAUAGAGACCUGUAUGAAUGGCUAAACGAGGGCUUAACUGUCUCCCUUUUCAGGUCAGUGAAAUUGGUCUACCCGUGCAGAAGCGGGCAUAACAAUACAAGACGAGAAGACCCUUUGGAGCUUAAGGUACAAAACUCAACCACGUCAAGCAACUUAAUAAAAAGUAAAAACUUUGUGAAACAUGAGAUCUUACCUUCGGUUGGGGCGACCGCGGAGGAAAAAAAAGCCUCCAAGUGGACCGGGACAAUAUUCCUAAAACCAAGAAAAACAUCUCUAAGCCACAGAACAUCUGACCAAACAUGAUCCGGCCACCAGGACCGAUCAACGAACCAAGUUACCCUAGGGAUAACAGCGCAAUCCCCUCCCAGAGUCCAUAUCGACGAGGGGGUUUACGACCUCGAUGUUGGAUCAGGACAUCCUAAUGGUGCAGCCGCUAUUAAGGGUUCGUUUGUUCAACGAUUAAAGUCCUACGUGAUC
rnacentral:rRNA from 1 species